rnacentral:misc_RNA from 1 species
UCUGCACCUCACUACGCCUAAAAAGCCGAUCUCCGGCUCCCUCCUCGCCUUUUUCGGGGCUUCACCUUAUCCCGUUCGUUUCGACUCACGUCCGCACAGUUGUGCCGGAGGCUGAGCGUGCGCACUGGGUCUGUCUCUCCUCUCAGUCUCUCGCCUGCUGUUGGUGCGUGUGCGCGUCUCUGGCGCACUCGAUCUCGCUGUGAAGGUGCCACUCCCCUUUCCCACAGCGCAGACGGCGCCGCGGAGGCGGCGACGGCGCACCUCUGACGUUCGGCUUGAUAGCGAAGGAAAGCAGCAGAAAAAAAGGCCGCUGCCUGUGCAGUGCAGCUCACGAUGCUUCGCAAGUGCCCCCUGCUGCGGUGGCGUCCGGAGAAGCGGCUGCCGCUGCGCUUCCGGGACGUACCCGAGGAGUUCACCGACCUCCGCACUGCUGACAGCCGCCCAGUGCUCUUCACUGCCAAGCGGCCAGCCCCGCUGCGCGACGUGACGUGUCUCAGCGAUGUGCUGCUGGAUAGCACGGCUCUCUCGACGCACAACCCGGAGGAUAUAGCACAGAAGCCGGUGGCCAUCGUCGCCCCCGAGCGCAUGGGGCUCCCGGCCCAGCUCGUCUGGUACUUGGAGCACCGCUUCCUCGACACCAACCGUAGCCUCUCCACGACGGCCGCCGCCGCGACAUCUUCGGCGUCUUCCUCCUCAUUGUUUCAGGGCUUCACUGUUGCGCAGGCACGUAUCCUGCAGCACAUGUACGCCACGCAGGACGUCGCCGUCUGCGCCCCCACCGGCACGGGAAAGACAUUUGCGUUGUGUCUCGGCGCCGUUGCGCGACUCAUGCGCGAUGGACCCAUGAAGCUCCUCUCUACCAUCAUCCUUGUCAGCAACGACUACCUGUGCUGGCAAGUGGAGAGGUGGCUGCAGGAGAUGUGGUGGUACCCAAACGACGAUCGCCUGGUCUUCGCCGCCACGAGCAACCUCACUGAGGAGCACGUGUACCGCCGACUGACGAAGGAGAUCGUACGGGAUGAGAACCAGACACGAAAGAUUGUCGGCACCAUCGACAACCGACCGUACAUCGUGGUCACGACGCCGGACGUGCUCUGGCGCUUUUACAAGCGCCGCCGCUCUGCCAUUCAGAAGCGGGAGCAGCGCAAAAACAGAAAAGGCUACUCCUUCUCCCUCAUGCCGGUCCUGUCCACGGUCGACCUCAUUGUGGUGGACGAGGUGGACGAGGUGAUGCCGUCGACGCAACCGAGCGCCGCCGGCAAUCUGCUGCUCAAAGAGCUGUUUCGCUACACCAAGUAUCAGGCCCCCGUGCAGGUGGUCUUGACAAGUGCCACCCUGGCCGGGUCAACGGUGAAUCACAUCCGGCGUUACAUGAAGAAGAAUCUGCUGGCGGACCGCACAGCGCGGGUGUUUGAGGAGGCGAAGGAGUCGGCCACGCGACUGGCCGCUGUCUCGGACACGGUUUCACGCGCAGCCGUGCCGCAUGGCAUUCGGCAUCUCUUCUACACGGCUGACACCCAACAGGAGCAGCGACAGUGUCUCGCAAAGGUGCUCGCUGCGACGUGCCCCAGUCUGCACCCGCUGCGCUCCGGCGAGGGCAAAGCAGGGGAUGGCGAAUCGUCGGACCCCACAAGCGCCGCCGCUGCAGAGCAUCGGGACUACAUUCUCCUCAUUCUGCCGGACUGUGCCAAGGUGGAGGACUUUAUCAGCCACGUCCUUCUACCGGGUCAAGCGGAUGCGCUGCGGAUCCUCGGCUCACAAGAUAACGCGCGGUGCACCGACUACCUCGUGGAACGGCUGGACUCCACAGUGCAGGCUCAGCAGCAGCAGCGGCGCCGUGCCGAGACGCGCAAGUUCAUUCAGCGCACCGUGCGAAAGGCUGAAGCCUUGGACGGUGAUGUGGACUAUCCCUCCUCUGCGCCGCAGCCUUCCACUCUCUUUCGACGACUCGAGCGCGAGGUGAACGCGACGGCGGCACCCGUACACGCCACGGCGAGUGCGUCACAGGCGCCGACACCGAAACCGUUGGCGGCAUCGCCGGCAGUAUGUGCGGCAGACUCGCUGACAGCCUCGUCGUCUCCUCUACGGCCGCCGCGGCGCUGCUUCAUCACGUGCAACUGCAACAACGUGCGUGGACUGGAUCUGCCGCACCUGACCCACGUUGUCAUUCUCGCCCAGCCGACCACCGCACUCGAGUACGCGCACUGGUGCGGCCGAGUCGGUCGCUUUGGCCGUCCCGGCGUGUCGGCCACAUUAAUGGCGCGCAGCGCAACGCGCCGCAUGCACCAGUUCUGCGACUCUCUCGGGAUCGCGUUUCGUGUGGAGAAGCGGCAUGCAGAGGUGGACGUCAACGCGGAGCGUUGGCUGAGCGGCGCGGACGCGGCGUUAUAACCACACCCAAAACGGGCGAGCGCGAGCACCGCUUGCCGCCUUCACCCGCAUCAGCUCACGCUGCACGCCGCACUUCUUCGAUGGAUGCAGAGGAGCCGGAGGGGAAGCGCACAGGACACGAGAGAGGACAGCAUAGGACACGAAUUGUAAGUGUGUGUGCGCCCUUGACAGGCGCGGUUGCCGCUAGUGAGGUUGCUGCUUCUGUGGUAUCAUAGAGCAGCGGCGAUUGCACAACUAGAGUCCGGUCCCGCCUCUUCUCUGCCUUUCUCUUGGCCCUGCCACACGCGCCGGCAAGCGAACAUGAAGCGGCCGCCCUCCCCUGUGCCCGCUCCUUGUGCCUCCUUCCGAGGCCGGCAGGUGAGUGCGCGUCCGUCCCUGCGGAGAGGGACCUCUUUCUUGUGUCGCGUCUGUCUGCUCAUCUGAUGCGUCGUUGUACGCUCUUCGUGGGACACCACGGUGCGACGAGAUCCGGCGGGGAGUGCGAUCGGGUUGUGCUCUCUGUCUCUCGUCCCAGUGGAGGCGGUGGCGUUGCGCUGCCUGCCGGUGCUACUUCCAGCGUCGAUUGCCGUGGACGCGGAGGGCCCCGCGACCUCGUGGCCUCUUGUCUGCCGUUGUGCCUCGACCGGCCGUGUCUUGAGGGUCAGCCCCGCCCGUGCGACCGUCUGCAUGCCUCCACGUGGCGGUGCCGGAGGCUGGAAGGGCCCGCGGCUCCGCGCUGUCGCCCGUACACAAGCACAACAUAUAUGCGUAUCGCGGUGCUCCUGAGUAGGACGCACUGUACUCCUGGCGGUGCAGCCCUCGGCGCGACUCUCGCUUCUUCCAUCUCUGCCCCACCCCCCUCCCCCUCUGUCUCUCACGCCUGCAAAG